rnacentral:rRNA from 1 species
AUGUCUCCGCUUAGAGAGGAGGAAAUAAAACGGAAAUAUGUCCGCGGCCAACCUUUGGUCGAGCCCGAGGAGGUCAAGAACCUCCCAACGAGAAUGUAUGAAUUGCAUGAUUGGUACAUGAAAAUUACCAAGAGUUCCAAUCGAGAGUUCCUCAUGGUGAAGGUCAAGGAAGAGCAUUACUUCCAUAAGCUAGCUCUGUCUGUUGAGUAUUCAGAACUAUUUCAGUUAUUCAAUCAAGAUGCACUCGACAAAUCUCUCGUCAGUUGCUAUUGUUUGAUGAAAAUGUAUGAAAUGGAAAAAGUUGGACGCUAUGGCAUUGGGUUCAUUGACCCAAUACCAUUAAUGAAAAGACAUGGACAUAUGAAUAUUAUAAACAAGAUGUAG